UGACAAACCAAUCCCCCUUCGCGACAAAAAAAAACCCCAAUCCCCCUAAAAUUGUCCAUCGUCUUCUCAGCUUCUAACUUCGUCCAAUCUCCGUUACCCAACCUCCUCUACAAUCAAACGUUUGCUUCAAUCUCCUCUUAACGGUUUCCUUUCACCUCCCCUCUUUCUCAUUCUUUAUAUACUGUUUUUUUCUUUCUGUUCUACAAACCAAAACCCUAGAACCUGCUCUAUUUAAGCUCAAGCCAUGGCGAUCAAAACAAACGGCAAGUUCCCUGUCUCCUCUGCCAAUGAUCAAGGAGUUAUGUUCUUCAAAAAUAUCUCACCAGGUCCCACAAAACCCAGUUACACUACCUAUCUGAACCCAAUAAAAAGAUCCUUAUUGGUCUGGAAAUGCACCUCAUCGACGAACAGGAGAAAUGUAUAUGUAAACAUGAUUGAUUUGAGAUUACUGAACUGGUCACUCCACCACCAUCUCUAAUAGCUGGAGUAGAAAAGGAUAUUGGGAGAUUUAUACAUCUAAAAUUAUGGUGGUGUUCACUAAAACGUCUUUGUUUGCAUGCCAAAGAGUAUUGUGUUUGUUUAUUUGCUUAUAUGGUUCAGGUGUACUAUAUUUAGCUCUGAUUUCUAUAAAAUUCUUAGUUGUCUGGAAUUUCCUUGCAGUUCUUCAACUAAUGUUGCUCAUAUUUUGGUUAGUAUCAGAUGAGAGAUUGGAUUUAGGUGACAGUGAACCAGGGUUUGAUGCUGAUCAUGAAUAUGGUGAAGGGGAGUUUGAAGAGAGAGAAUUGAAGCAGUAGGAACAUGGGUUGGUUAAUCAGAUGGAUGAAAAACUUGAGGAGGGAACAGAGGCCGAUGAAAAUGCAGGUGAGUUUACCGACGACAUUGGGAGGAGCUAGAGUGUCAAAGUAGUUAUGUGCAUGCUUAUGAUGAAAUUAAGCGUGGAGAAGCUGUUGAUGUGUAAGAAGAAAGAGAAGAUCAUCAUGAUGUUCUCCAUGACAGACGCUCUGAUGUAGCCUAGGCUACGAUAAUGCAAGAAACCUAUUGAUUCUGAGAAUACCUAGGAGUCAAGCCUUCUUGAGAUCGUUGAGAGUCGAGGCUCUAUCCGAGAACAAGGUUUAGAGUUUAUAAAAGCUCUUAAUUAUAUUAAUGCAAAGAAGUUGUUCUCUUACAAUGU